rnacentral:lncRNA from 1 species
GUUUGAGCGAGUUGCUGAACAGCACCGGUGUGGUGUAUAUAUCCGCAAUGGGAACAUUUAAUGCAUCAGACGAGUGGUGGGAAAGAAAGAUUCAGGUAAAGUGCAAUUGACCGUCUCUGUUUUCCACUUCUCCAUCUUUCCAGAUUGUGGGGAUUUUUAGUAUUGUUGUUAUUCAUGUAUUGUAGUAUAUAUUAAGGAUGUAACUGUUUUGUUUCUUUUGAAUUUUAAAAGAAUUGAGAAAUAUUGGAGCUUAUUAAACUUAGACAAUGAAUUACUUGUUCGUGUGGUAGGAUGAAAUGGUUAUUCGAACUAAGGGAAAUUUGUGUACUGUUAACCUUUUUUCUUAAGAUAAAUUUUUCAUGAGAGAGGAGAAGAGGGGGAGAGAGAGCAAGAUAGUAGUCAUGUGAAGAAGAGAGAAACAAAAUCCACAUAAUUACAAUGACAGUGAUGAUUCUGAUACCGACGAAGGAGGUGCAGAAGAAGAGGAUGAAAAUUUUAUCCCCAACUGUAAAACCAUACACGGCGGUUCUGGCCGGAAGGGGUGGUGGUUCUGGGGGAAAAUCCUGGAAUGUAGGGUCACAUGGGUUCAAGAAUGGGACAGAAUUUUCCUCUUAGUAUGCACUGCUGGUCUAUUUGUAGAUCCUCUCUUCUUCUAUACCCUCUCAAUAAGUGAAAACUGCAUGUGCCUUUUCGUCGACGGGUGGUUCGCUAUAAACUUGACGAUUCUCCAGUGCAUGACAGACGCCUUGCACCUCUGGAACAUGUGGCUUCAUUUCAAAAUUAACCGUAUAAUAAAAUUCAUUCAUGCCAAUAAAAUUAUAUCCAUUUCUUUUCUUCUUGAAGCUUGCUAU